UCCAGACUCCUACGGGAGGCAGCAGUGGGGAAUAUUGGGCAAUGGGCGCAAGCCUGACCCAGCAACGCCGCGUGAAGGAAGAAGGCUUUCGGGUUGUAAACUUCUUUUGACAGGGAAGAGUAGAAGACGGUACCUGUCGAAUAAGCCACGGCUAACUACGUGCCAGCAGCCGCGGUAAUACGUAGGUGGCAAGCGUUGUCCGGAUUUACUGGGUGUAAAGGGCGUGUAGCCGGGUUGACAAGUCAGAUGUGAAAUCCCGCGGCUUAACCGCAGAACUGCAUUUGAAACUGUUGAUCUUGAGUACUGGAGAGGCAGACGGAAUUCCUAGUGUAGCGGUGAAAUGCGUAGAUAUUAGGAGGAACACCAGUGGCGAAGGCGGUCUGCUGGACAGCAACUGACGGUGAGGCGCGAAAGCGUGGGGAGCAAACAGGAUUAGAUACCCGAGUA
rnacentral:rRNA from 1 species